rnacentral:rRNA from 1 species
UACCUGGAUGAUUCUGCCCCUUUUAAGAUGCUUGUGCAUAGAUUAACCCAUGCAUGUCUAAGCAUAAGCAACUUUGUACUGUGAAACUGCGAAUGGCUCAUUAAAUCAUUUAUAGUUUAUUUGAUGGUUUUUGCUACAUGGAUAACUGUGGUAAUUCUAGAGCUAAUACAUGCAUUCUAGCCCCAACUUCCGGAAGGGGUGUAUUUAUUAGAUAAAAAUCCACUUUGUUGAUGAAUCAUAAUAACUUCUCGGACCGCAUGGCCUCGUGCUGGCGGUGCUUCAUUCAAAUAUCUGCCCUAUCAACUGUCCAUGGAAAGAUAGAGGCCUACCAUGGUUGCAACUGGUAACGAGUAAUAAUGGUUCGAUUCCGGAGAGGGAGCCUGAGAAACGGCUACCACAUCCAAGGAAGGCAGCAAGCUCGCAAAUUACCCAAUCCCAACACGGGGAGGUAGUGACAAUAUGUAACAAUAUACGGUCUUAUACGUCAUAUAAUUGGAAUGAGUACAAUUUAAAUCCCUUAACGAGGAACAAUUGCAUGGCAAGUCUGGUGCCAGCAACCUCGGUAAUUCCAGCUCCAAUAACGUAUAUUAAAGUUGUUGCAGUUAAAAAGCUCGUACUUGGACCUUGGACCUGGACAUGCGGACCGCCUCACGGCGAGAACUGACUUGCUGGGUCUUUCCUCUUGGUGAUCUGCUGUUUCGGCAGAAAGCAACGACCGAUCUUUACUUUGAAAAAAUUACAGUGUUCAAAGCAAGCUCGAUCCCUGAAUAUAUUAUCAUGUAACAAUCAAAUAGGACAUGCGGUUCUAUUUUGUUGGAUGUUGAAUCGACGUAAUGAUUAAUAAGGACAGACAGGGUCAUUACUACUCAGAUGCUACUAGUGCAAUUCAUUGGAUUUUAUGAAGAUUAACUUCUAUUAAAAAAUUUUGCCAAGAAAAUCUCAUAACCCAAAAUAAAUGCCAGGGUAUCAAAACCGAUAAAAACCCCUGUAUGAUAACAAAAAUUUUCCCGAAAAGGUAUCGGUUCAUGUUUCCUUUGAACCGAUUCCCACCUUAAAAACACCAAAUUUUUGUUUCCGGGGGAGAUAGUCUUACGGGUAAACUUCAAAAUUAACUAUUGGCCCCCCAACUUGAAACCGCCUUGUAUUGAAUAACCGGGGAAUUCCCA